rnacentral:rRNA from 1 species
CUGGGUGUAAGGGCGAGUAGACGGCGUUACAAGUCAGAUGUGAAAACUUGGGGCUCAACCUCAAGACUGCAUCUGAAACUGUAAUGCUAGAGUGCAGGAGAGGAAAGUGGAAUUCCUAGUGUAGCGGUGAAAUGCGUAGAUAUUAGGAGGAACACCAGUGGCGAAGGCGACUUUCUGGACUGUAACUGACGUUGAGGCGCGAAAGUGUGGGGAGCAAACAGGAUUAGAUACCCUGGUAGUCCACACUGUAAACGAUGGAUACUAGGUGUAGGCACUAACGUGUCUGUGCCGGCGCUAACGCAAUAAGUAUCCCACCUGGGGAGUACGGCCGCAAGGUUGAAACUCAAAGAAAUUGACGGGGGCCCGCACAAGCAGUGGAGUAUGUGGUUUAAUUCGACGCAACGCGAAGAACCUUACCAAGACUUGACAUACAAUUGAAUACGUAAGAAAUUACGUAGUCCUUCGGGACAGUUGUACAGGUGAUGCACGGUUGUCGUCAGCUCGUGUCGUGAGAUGUUGGGUUAAGUCCCGCAACGAGCGCAACCCUCGUGACUAGUUGCUGCCUAGCAGAACUCUAGUCAGACUGCCGUAGUUAAUACGGAGGAAGGUGAGGAUGACGUCAAAUCAUCAUG